rnacentral:tRNA from 1 species
CAGAGUGUAGCUCAGUCUGCGCAGAGCGCACGGUUUGGGCCCGUGAGGUCGCAGGUUCGACUCCUGCCACUCUGA